CGCAAAGGUCGCACAGUCCUUUACAAUUUAACGCGACAAUGUGAUCACUUUAGUCAUCGUAGUGUCUAGACAAGGAACGAAAAGGAAAAGAAUCAGACCAUCAGACGAGAAGGGCUGGUUUCGGAGAGCAAAAAGCACUAGGAAGAGGCUAAAUGGUCCGGGAGAAAAAGAAGUUCUGGGACCAAGUGAAGUUAAGUCACAGAAUGACAGAGAAGCCAAAAGUCCCGCCGGACCAGCCUGUACUGAUUUCCAACUUUUCCUAGAUGUUAAACAGCUCCUUCAAAGCCAGUGUCCCUGGCCAAUCCGAAGUUGGUGACAGGGUCAAAGUGGAUGAAGUCAGCUUCUUUCUGCUCUCUACGUGGACUGCAGUCGAGUGGCUCUGCAGAAAGCCUUCCCAGCUUCAGCACCAGAUGGAAACUGACCAGACAUCCACUCCUUUGGACUCCGCAGCUGUUGUGGAAGCCAAACCAAUAAAUCCCCUUUGUAAGACA